GCAUCUCUAUUUCAAAUGCGGGGCUGAGGGGUCGGCCCAGAACUUUAACAUGGCACACACUGCACAUAUUAAUGAAAAACAAGUAAGCUAAAGAGCAAGAACAAG